ACCGAAGUAGUUCAGUUGGAAGAGCAUUAGACUGUAGAUCGAAAAGUCUCUGGUUCGACCCCGGUUCCGAAA
rnacentral:tRNA from 1 species